GAUGAACGCUGGCGGCGUGCUUAACACAUGCAAGUCGAACGAAGCACCUUAUUCUGAUUUCUUCGGAAUGAAAAAUUUGGUGACUGAGUGGCGGACGGGUGAGUAACGCGUGGGUAACCUGCCUCAUACAGGGGGAUAACAGUUAGAAAUGACUGCUAAUACCGCAUAAGACCACAGCACCGCAUGGUGCAGGGGUAAAAACUCCGGUGGUAUGAGAUGGACCCGCGUCUGAUUAGGUAGUUGGUGGGGUAACGGCCUACCAAGCCGACGAUCAGUAGCCGACCUGAGAGGGUGACCGGCCACAGUGGGACUGAGACACGGCCCAAACUGCUACGGGAGGCAGCAGUGGGGAAUAUUGCACAAUGGGGGAAACCCUGAUGCAGCGGCGCCGAGGGAGCGAUGAAGUAUUUCGGUAUGUAAAGCUCUAUCAGCAGGGAAGAAAAUGACGGUACCUGACUAAGAAGCACCGGCUAAAUACGUGCCAGCAGCCGCGGUAA
rnacentral:rRNA from 1 species